rnacentral:rRNA from 1 species
GGCCUGGCUGGCCGGUCCGCCUCACCGCGUGCACUGGACCGGCCGGGCCUUUCCUUCUGGGGAACUGCAUGGCCUUCACUGGCUGUGUUAAGGAACCAGGACUUUUACUUUGAAAAAAUUAGAGUGUUUAAAGCAAGCGUACGCUUGAAUACAUUAGCAUGGAAUAAUGAAAUAGGGCUU